rnacentral:tRNA from 1 species
GGGAAGGUGGCUCAGUGGUAGAGUGCUUGCCUUGCAUGUAUGAAGCCCUGGGUUCGAUUCCUCAGCGCCA